AUCCUUCUGAUAGUUCAGAUGGGAGAUGAUGACUGGGACUUUCAGGUUUCUACCUGAGGGCUGCAACCUUAAUUGUUACGAAUUUUGGCAGUCAUUACCCUUCUGAUC